rnacentral:rRNA from 1 species
AUUGAACGCUAGCGGGAGGUCUAACACAUGCAAGUCGAACGAGUGGCGGACGGGUGAGUAAUGUAUGGGAAACUGCCCGAUAGAGGGGGAUAACUACUGGAAACGGUGGCUAAUACCGCAUACCAUCGGAUGUGCCGAGAUGGGAUUAGCUAGUAGGUGGGGUAAAGGCUCACCAAGGCGACGAUCCCUAGCUGGUCUGAGAGGACGACCAGCCACACUGGGACUGAGACACGGCCCAGACUCCUACGGGAGGCAGCAGUGGGGAAUUUUGGACAAUGGGCGCAAGCCUGAUGCAGCCAUCCCGCGUGUAUGAUGAAGGCCUUCGGGUUGUAAAGUACUUUCGGCGAGGAAGCGUUACUCGCAGAAUAAGCACCGGCUAACUCCGUGCCAGCAGCCGCGGUAAUUC